CCCUCCCUCCCUCUCUGCGCCUCUCCCUCCCUCUCCCUCCAUCUCUCCUUCUCUCUCUCUCUUGCGCCUCUCCCUCUCUCUCUACGCCUCUCCCUCUCCCUCUCCCUCUCCCUCCAUCUCUCCUCCCUCUCUCUCUGCGCCUCUCCCUCUCUCUCUCCGCCUCUCCCUCUCCCUCUUCGGUCACCUCUCUCUAUCUCUUUGUUUGAUCUAAAGGAGGGAGACAAAACCCUAACCCUAUCACAACCACACGCCCCAAUGAAAUCUAGUCGCCGGAUUCUAUCCAGAGACGAGAAAUCCAGCCAACAAUCAUCGAAUCCAAGUAUCUGGUUUGAGAUCUUUUGGGUUCUUCUUGUGUUGGAGAUUAAUGCUAAUCCUCACAGAUACUUGCGAAAUCUUGCGCGAUUUCAGCCAUAAAUCAGCCAAAAUCAUCUACAAAUGCAUCAAAACAAGUUGUUGAAAAUCUGAAGUCGCAGGAGACGUGCAUACCAAAUGUUUGACUGAUUACAUGUCUUUGCCAUUUACCAAAAAUGUUUAUAGGCCAUCUACCAUUAUUCAGCGUCUUUCCAGGUGAUUAACGAAACUCUACGGAUGACGAAUAUUAUCAAUGGGGUAUGGAGGAAAGAUUAAAGGGUCCGUACUACUGUUGUAUUGGUGCCGACAAGGCAUUUGGGCGUGACGUUGUUGAUACCCAUUACAAGGCCUGCCUUUAUGCAGGCAUCAACAUCAGUGGGAUCAAUGGCGAAGUCAUGCCCGAACAGUGGGAGUAUCAAGUCGGCCCUGCUAUGAGUAUCUCCGUAGGCGAUGAGUUGUAGGUUUCUCGCUACAUUUUGGAGCCACUGCUUCAAAUGGAGGGACUGCAGAAAGAUUUGGUUAGGGAGACUACUGAUGGUGAACUAGCAGCUGCAACAAAUAUGAGAGUUGCAAAGGUGAAAAGAAACAUAAGGCGGUCGAGUGGCAAGAAACAAGCUAAUCAAGCAUUGGUCCUGGAUCACUGUACUGGAGACAGACACAUCGGCCUGCUGUAUUGCAAUCUCUUGGAUGCAUAGCACAAACUGCAAUGCCUGUUUAUGAAACCAAAGAGGGGGAAAUUGAACUAAAACCUCUUAGGAAAAACAAAGUGAACUUUGUUUAUUGAAGGUCAGUCAGGUUUUGCAUCGCAGGUAUUUGGUAGUAAAACCUUGGUGAAAAGCUUUUUACCUAUUAAAGAUGCUCAUCUGCGGCCGGGGAUGGAAACCCAUUUGGAACUCCUAAAAUGCAUGCUCUCUUUUGGAGACAUUUCAAAGGUUGUAAAAUCAAGAAGGAUCGACAUGAUAGAAGGGUUGGAAACUGUGGCUAACCUCAAUAUACCUAAGGAUCUUUCAAGUCAAGAAGCAAAUGAGUAUCUGCGAGAUGCAUGCGCAAGAUUUGAUGUCAAGUGUCCCCCUCCUCAAACUACAACGCGGCUGUUAGACAAGCUGGUGGGGCAUUUCUUGGAGGAGACGUGUAAAUCCUACUUUUAUCAUAAAUCAUCCAGAGAUAAUGAGCCCAUUGGCUAAGUGGCACAGAUCGAAACCCUGCUUGACAGAGCGUUUUGAACUCUUUGUAAACAAGCACAAGCAUACAUGGCUGACUCCAAUGGUGAUGGUUCUAGCAAAACUGAAGAUGUUAAUGCAACUGACAAUCAUGGUUUUUUUUUUCCCCCCCUCUGCCACAACUUGACAGUCAUUGAAAUCAACUGAUUCAGGUGAGAUUUUACGAGGACAUUAGUAAUGAACUGCACACGCAUUGGAUUCU